rnacentral:rRNA from 1 species
GCAUAACGCGAAGAACCUUACCCGGGUUUGACAUGUAUCUGCACGUCCUGUGAAAGCGGGAUUCCUUCGAGGGUGAUACACAGGUGCUGCAUGGCUGUCGUCAGUUCGUGCCGUGAGGUGUUUGGUUAAGUCCAGCAACGAACGCAACCCCUGUGCCCAAUUGCCAGCGCGUAAUGGCGGGAACUUUGGGCAGACUGCCUGUUCACACAGGAGGAAGGUGGGGACGACGUCAAGUCAGUAUGGCCCUUACAUCCGGGGCUGCACACGUGCUACAAUGGCCGGUACAAAGGGACGCGAGACCGCGAGGUGGAGCAAAUCCCCAGAGCCGGCCCCAGUUCAGAUUGCGGUCUGCAACCCGACCGCAUGAAGUCGGAUUCGCUAGUAACGGCGCAUCAGCUACGGCGCCGUGAAUACGUUCCCGGGUCUUGUACACACCG